rnacentral:rRNA from 1 species
GGGGGGGAGCAAGCGUUGUUYGGAUUUACUGGGCGUAAAGGGCGCGUAGGCGGCCAGCACAAGUCAGUUGUGAAAUCUCCGAGCUUAACUCGGAAAGGUCAACUGAUACUGUGCGGCUAGAGUGCGGAAGGGGCAACUGGAAUUCUUGGUGUAGCGGUGAAAUGCGUAGAUAUCAAGAGGAACACCUGCGGCGAAGGCGGGUUGCUGGGCCGACACUGACGCUGAGGCGCGAAAGCCAGGGGAGCGAACGGGAUUAGAUACCCCGGUAGUCCUGGCCUUAAACGAUGAAUGCUUGGUGUCUGGGGUUAUAUAGUCCCCGGGUGCCGUCGCUAACGCUUUAAGCAUUCCGCCUGGGGAGUACGGUCGCAAGACUG